UCUGAUGAUAAUACCUUAUUUUCAUUGUAAGGAAAAAUUCAAUUCGAAAUUUUACUAUUUAAAGUUGAUUUUAUUUUAGGCAUUACGUAGAAUACGUUCACUGUACGGUCAAACUAAUCAAAGAAAUAGGUACUAAGGUACCAAUAGCCGAACGCACACGAAUCGCUGUACUACUGCGUUGAAUUUAAUCGCCACCAUAUAUAUAUAGACGCUUAUCGCUCGCUGGGCUUUCCAAGCUUCUAGAAAAUACCAGACGAACGAUAAACGCCUGUGAUUUAAAACGUGGGGAAAUU